UACGGAGGGUGCAAGCGUUAAUCGGAAUUACUGGGCGUAAAGCGCACGCAGGCGGUUAAUUAAGUUAGAUGUGAAAUCCCCUGGGCUUAACCUGGGAAUGGCAUCUAAAACUGGUUAGCUAGAGUCUUGUAGAGGGGGGUAGAAUUCCAUGUGUAGCGGUGAAAUGCGUAGAGAUGUGGAGGAAUACCGGUGGCGAAGGCGGCCCCCUGGACAAAGACUGACGCUCAGGUGCGAAAGCGUGGGGAGCAAACAGG
rnacentral:rRNA from 1 species